UUCCUUUCCACGAUCAGCAACUGUAUACCCCAAAGUAUGUCCUGGCUUUGUGUAUUUGGGAAUAGCUGUCCUGAUUGGAAAGGCUGGGGACUUUGCCCUUAAAUAUUGCGGUUUUGCUCCCAUGCAGAUUUUAAUUUUCAGUUCUCUUUACCGCCAUGCUGUGGAAUGGGUAGUCCACUAUCCACAUGGCAGGCCAAGGGAGGACAGGCAGAACAGAGCUGAACUGGAUCCUCCCAUUGCAUGUUGGUAUCCAUGACAACUGCUCCUUCUGUGCUCUCAGGAAUUGCUCAAACUAUCCUCCUGCACCAGAGCCCCCCUUGCUGGGACUGCCCGCCUUGCUGGGGGUCUGAGGGGGCCAAAGGGCUGUAGUACGUGUCCUGAACACACAUGGGAUGAGCCAGGGGUGGCACACAGGUGAGAUGCUCCAGAGGAAAAUUCACAUAGUGUCUUCAGCAUUCUGGCAUAAGUGGCGAUAGACAGACAUUCCACAGGGUGA